GUAACACCUUGCUGCUUCGCUGACAAAUGGCGGACGGGUGAGUAAUGUCUGGGAAACUGCCUGAUGGAGGGGGAUAACUACUUAAAACGGUAACUAAUACCGCAUAACGUCACAAGACCAAAGAGGGGGAGCUUCGGGCCUCUUGCCAUCUUAUGUGCCCAGAUGGGAUUAGCUACUAGGUGGGGUAACGGCUCACCUAGGCGACGAUCCCUACCUGGUCUGAAAGGAUGACCAGCCACACUGGAACUGAGACCCGGUCCAGACUCCUACGGGAGGCAACAGUGGGGAAUAUUGCACAAUGGGCGCAACCCUGAUGCAGCCAUGCCGCGUGUAUGAAGAAGGCCUUCGGGUUGUAAAGUACUUUCAGCGGGGAGGAAGGUUAAAGUUAAUACCUUUGCUCAUUGACGUUACCCGCAGAAGAAGCACCGGCUAACUCCGUG
rnacentral:rRNA from 1 species